AGUGAACGCUGGCGGUAGGCCUAACACAUGCAAGUCGAACGGCAGCACAGUAAGAGCUUGCUCUUACGGGUGGCGAGUGGCGGACGGGUGAGGAAUACAUCGGAAUCUACUUUUUCGUGGGUGAUAACGUAGGGAAACUUACGCUAAUACCGCAUACGACCUACGGGUGAAAGCAGUGGAUCUUCGGACCUUGCGCGAUUGAAUGAGCCGAUGUCGGAUUAGCUGGUUGGCAGGGUAAAGGCCCACCAAGGCGACGAUCCGUAGCUGGUCUGAGAGGAUGAUCAGCCACACUGGAACUGAGACACGGUCCAGACUCCUACGGGAGGCAGCAGUGGGGAAUAUUGGACAAUGGGCGCAAGCCUGAUCCAGCCAUACCGCGUGGGUGAAGAAGGCCUUCGGGUUGUAAAGCCCUUUUGUUGGGAAAGAAAAGCAGCAGGUUAAUACCCCGCUGUUCUGACGGUACCCAAAGAAUAAGCACCGGCUAACUUCGUG
rnacentral:rRNA from 1 species